UUCGCAAUGCCCGAAAGGGUGACGAAGCGACGCCGCGUGGGUGAGGAAGGCCUUCGGGUUGUAAAGCCCUGUCAGGAGUUAAGAAAUGUAAGUGCGCUAAUAUCGCAUUUAUUUGACGAAGGCUCCAAAGGAAGUCACGGCUAACUCUGUGCCAGCAGCCGCGGUAAUACAGAGGUGGCAAGCGUUGUUCGGAAUUAUUGGGCGUAAAGAGCACGUAGGUGGAUUUGUAAGUCAGAUGUGAAAGCCUUCUGUUCAACGGAAGAAUUGCAUCUGAAACUGCGAGUCUUGAGUGUAGGAGGGGAGAAUGGAACUUCUGGUGGAGCGGUGAAAUGCGUAGAUAUCAGAAGGAACGCCGGCGGCGAAAGCGAUUCUCUGGCCUAUUACUGACACUCAGUGUGCGAAAGCUAGGGGAGCAAACGGGAUUAGAUACCCCGGUAGUCCUAGCCGUAAACGAUGGGCACUAAGUAGAGGGGUUUU
rnacentral:rRNA from 1 species